UUGAACAAACUUUAAAAACUGUUUUAUUUUUAAUAAAUUCCCCAAUUUAAAAUGUAAAUCAAACAUUUGUAACAUUCUCUCUGUAGAGCUGCUGGUUGAGUGUGUGAAGAACAAAGACUUAAAGAAGCUGCAGGAGCUGCACCUGAAGGGAGCCGACCUCACGUCACUCCACUCCACUCGUCCGGCUGCAGGUGACGUCAUCACGCUGCCAGUGCACGAAGCAAAGAGAUGGUCCUCUACAUCCUCCACAGGUGUGUGUACAGUCCUCCACCUGUUUGGUGCACGUAUGGAGUGAGUCAGGAU